rnacentral:rRNA from 1 species
CAGCUCUCCGAGUGGUAGGGACGAUUAUUGGGCUUAAAGCGUCCGUAGCCGGCUUAGCAAGUCUCCUGUUAAAUUCAGCGACCUAAUCGUUGAGCCGCGGGAGAUACUACUAGGCUAGGAGGCGGGAGAGGCCGACGGUAUUCUCGGGGUAGGGGUGAAAUCCUAUAAUCCCGGGAGGACCACCAGUGGCGAAGGCUGUCGGCUGGAACGCGCUCGACGGUGAGGGACGAAAGCUGGGGGAGCGAACCGGAUUAGAUACCCGAGUAGUCC